rnacentral:lncRNA from 1 species
CAACAUAGUACUGAACUUCUGAAGACAGAUAUUUUGGGUGUUUCCAACACUGCAGAAGAACAGUUUGUGUAGCUGCUGUGUCUGGUUGAGCCCAUUGCUAUGGCUGAGCAGCAAAGAGAGUGUUGCUAUCGUACUUUUUCCUUCACUUCUUGCUUCUUGAAGCCAUUAUUGCAGAGCAGAUUCACUUUUUUUUUAAUCUCAGAAGGAAGGCCUAAAUGCAAUAGUUAGUAUUGUUUAGUAUUUGGCAAACCAUGCUGGAUUAGGGCUGGGUGAACAGUAGGAGAAAUGCUAGAAGUUAAUUCUGAUCUUGCCUUUUUAUGGAUUACAAGUUAUGUCAAUAGGGACUUGUAUUCCAAACUGGAGACAAGCAGCCCCUUGUGACUGCUGGUGAAAUCCAGCACCAGGAGGGAAAAUGGAGCAUUAGACAGCUGGGGAGACAGUGCCUUCACAGGAGCUCCUCAACUCAGUCCUGGUGCAAACUGGUCCCUGGUCACAAACCUCUGUGGUGCGUGUUUGACUCAAGGCCUGUUUUCUGAAUCCUUUCCUCAGUGCUCCCAGGCUUUCCUCCUUGGGCAAUGAGCCAAGGAAUCAGGUAUAUCAACCAACAGACUGUUUGUUUUUCCACGGGCUGUGUCAAUUGUGCUGGUGUUAUCAGUGAAACCAGGUCUGCUCAUGGCCUCCUGCUCUGCAGGCGGUGGAGGGCUCUGAUCUCCUGCUCCUGUGCUUUUUGAAGGUGGGACAAUGCUUUGCAUGAGUUUCCAGAGCACCAAACACAAGGACAUCGAGGAAAGUCCAUCAGAGGAGAGCUCCAUGGAGGAACCCUCAGGCACUUCUGGAGGCCUGGCUGGCUCCCCGUGGAGGAGUGUGGUGGCCUGGAACACAAGCGAGUGGACAAGGGCCAGAGCCUGUGGAGGAAGAGGUGGGCUAUGCUGGGGGAAAGGGUGCUGGGGAUGCUGGAACCAGGACAGGUCCUGGGGUGAACUUCACCCAACCAGACCCAUUUAAUUGUUCUAAACAUCACUCGGUCUGUUCAGCCUGGAGGAGAUGGACAGGAGACCUUCUUGUGGUGUACAGCUUUGGGGCUGUGAAGGGAAGUGAAAGGGCGGGCAUUGAUCUGCGGUGACAAUGACAGAACCCCAGGGGACAGCCUGAAGCUGCGUCAGGGGAGGUUCAGGAUGGAUACUGGGAUAAGGUUCUUUGCUGGAAGGUGGCUGGGCACGGGGACUGGCUGCCUAGAGAAGUGUGACAACCGAGCCUGACAGAGUUCAAGAAGCAUUUGGACAAUGCUCUCAGGCACGUGGUGGGAUUCUUGGGGCUGUGCUGUUCAGGGGCAGGACCUGCACUUCGAUAUCGUUGUGUGUCCCUUCCAAGUCAGAACAUCUCAUGAUUGUGUGACCUCCCAAAGGC